rnacentral:rRNA from 1 species
GGAGGUAGUACAAUAAAUCACAAUGCGGAACAAUGUUUUGCAAUUGGAUUGAGAACAACGUACAAACCUUAUCGAUAAACAAUUGGAGGGCAAGUCUGGUGCCAGCAGCCGCGGUAAUUCCAGCUCCAAUAGCGUAUAUUAACGUUGUUGCAGUUAAAAAGCUCGUAGUUGAAAUGAAGGGUGGUUGUGUAAUGAAUACAUUCGUGUAUUUUGUUAUUCUACUACCCUCCUUCUAAAUUCGAUAUAUGAGUAUUAAUUUACUUGUAUAUGGUUUUAGACUUUUACUGUGAGAAAAUUAGAGUGUUCAAAGCAGGCAUUUGCUUGAAUAUAUUAGCAUGGAAUAAUCAUGUAUGAUUUUCAUGAUGUAUUUGAUUGGUUUGGUUCAUGAGAAUAAGAUUAAAAGGGACAGUUGGGGGUAUUCAUAUUCAAUAGUCAGAGGUGAAAUUCUCGGAUUUAUGGAAGAUGAACAAUGCGAAAGCA